rnacentral:rRNA from 1 species
UACAGAGGGGGCAAGCGUUGUUCGGAAUUACUGGGCGUAAAGGGCGCGUAGGCGGCCUUCUAAGUCGAACGUGAAAUCCCCGGGCUCAACCCGGGAACUGCGUCCGAUACUGGGAGGCUUGAAUCCGGGAGAGGGAUGUGGAAUUCCAGGUGUAGCGGUGAAAUGCGUAGAGAUGUGGAGGAACACCGAUGGCGAAGGCAGCCCCCUGGGCCAAUACUGACGCUCAUGCACGAAAGCGUGGGGAGCAAACAGG